GAUUUUAUGUGAGUGUCAUAGAUGUCACUCUGAAUAGGGCAAUAGCAUCUUGUCAGUGUUCAACUACUGAAAAAUGAUAGAUUUUCUGUGGCAACAGUGGCCAGGGCAGUAUUAGGCAAACCUGUUGCCAGAAUCUCAGAAGUUUAGCACAAGUUUAUUGAAUGCAAAUUUUGUUCUCUGCUAAUGGCUAAAUUUUUGUAGUGCAAUAUUACCAGGAUUUAUUUAAGUGACAACCCACUUGAAAUCAAUAAUUUUUCUGAUUUUGAUAAGCCUAGUUUCUUGAGCCAAAGACUCUUCCUCACUUUGAUGAAUACCGUACAAAAUAACCACAGUUGGAAAACACUCUCUUUAAAAAGUUACCCAACUUAAAAGAGUAGAAACCAAAAUGUCCACUGCACAUAAGGGUAAUGACAUUUUGAAGGGUGGCUUCUCAAGAUCACAUAUAGCAUCAAUAAUAUAAGAGCACCCGUACUGGUCACACUAAUGCAAACAUUUGUAGGACACGUGAUUCAUGACCAAGAACUUGGUGUGGGGUUGCUCUCAGCAGAGGUGAUUGAUAUUAUGGCAGCUACAACAGAAACAAUGGCAAUAAUAAUGAUGUUACUACUUACUUAUUUACUGUAUCAAACAUAUAAUUUACAUUAUCUCAUUCAAUAACACAAUAAUUCUAAAGGGUAGGUCCAUCCCCAUCUAAUCAAUGGGAGAAAUGAGUCAGAGAGAUGGGUCACAUCAGAACUGUGACAAAGGUAUUAUGUUCAGGAGGCCAGUGUAUCUUUGAAUCAGAGUCUGUAGACUGCUCACACAACAACCCCUAAUGUUUCCCUAAAUUACUUUUAUUUUAAUGUUACUUAACAUGAGUGUAGAACUUGGUCUCACCAUCUUAUUCUUAAAGCUAUGAUAAAAUUUUAUAAUAAAAAUAAAUGUUCAAAUUAGAUGCACACAAUAAAACCAGUCCCUUUCAAAUUA
rnacentral:lncRNA from 1 species